UACGUAGGGUGCGAGCGUUAAUCGGAAUUACUGGGCGUAAAGCGUGCGCAGGCGGUUUUGUAAGCCAGAUGUGAAAUCCCCGGGCUUAACCUGGGAAUGGCAUUUGGGACUGCAAGGCUUGAGUGCGGCAGAGGAGACUGGAAUUCCUGGUGUAGCAGUGGAAUGCGCAGAUAUCAGGAGGAACACCGAUGGCGAAGGCAGGUCUCUGGGCCAUUACUGACACUGAGAAGCGAAAGCAUGGGGAGCGAACAGG
rnacentral:rRNA from 1 species